rnacentral:lncRNA from 10 species
UUCUCUUAGAUGAGAUUAUUGCGCAGGAGAAAGUCCCUGUACCCUUAAAACCAUAGAAACUUGAGUCCUGCCACCUUCACCUCUAUGCGGUUUGGACUCACACUUUUCAGAACUUGGUUGAGCUGCAAACCCAAUCUAUAAAAAUUCCAAUUUAUUCAACACAAAGGCACACCAAAGGAUUCACUGCUGGCUUCUUUUCAAUAGUCAGCUCCCUUGCGUGUAUUGUAAAUGGGUCUCCUUUUAUAGAACUUCAAAUUCUGGACAACUUCUUAGAUGCCUCUGUAGGGCCAACUAAGGUAUAGUCUACCUGAAGUCCAGCCACAUUCCAGCAGCCACCUGAGCAGACGUUUCAAAUGGAAGCUUCUACCCUCAGCUCUACAGAUCACAAAGCCAGCUCACACCUGGAACCACACUUGUGACUAAAGGGUUUUCUUUUAGGGUAAUGAAAAUGUCUUGGGGCUGGGUGCAGUGGCUCAUGCCUGUAAUCCCAGCACUUUAAGAGGCCAAGGCAGACACAUCAGUUGAGCCCAGGAGAUUGAGAGCAGCCUGGGCAACAUAGUGAGGCUCCGUCUCUACAGAUAAUUUAAACAUUAGCAGGGUGUGGUGGCACACACCUGUGGUUUCAGCUAUUCAGGAAGCUGAGGUGGGAGGAUUACCUGUGCCUGGGAGGUUGAGGCUGCAGUGAGCCGCGAUUGCACCACUAUACUCCAGCCUGAGUGACAGAGUGAGAACUUGUCUCAAAACAAAACAAAACAAAAACCAAGAAGAAAAGAAAAGAAAAAAAGAAAAUAUCUUUUAAUUAGACAAUGUUGUGCUGGUUCCACGCAUUGCGAAUGUACUGAAAACCACUGAUUGUACACUUUAAAAUGAUUGAACCAGCCCAGCGCGGUGGCUCACGCCUGUAAUCCGAGCACUUUGGGAGACCAAGGUGGGAGAUCACAAGGUCAAGAGAUUGAGAUCAUCCUGGUCAACAUGGUGAAACCCCAUCUCUAUCCAAAAUACAAAAAAUUAGCUGGGCAUGAUGGAGCACUCGAGUCCCAGUUACUCGGGAGGCUGAGGCAGGAGGAUCGCUUGAACCCUGGAGGCGGAGGUUGCAGUGAGCUGAGAUCGCGCCAUUGCACUCCAGCCUGGCGACAGAGCGAGACCCGUCUCAAACAACAACAGCAACAACAACAACAUCAACAACAAAAAACAAAAACAACAACAAAACAAAAAAAAUGAUUGAACUGGUAAAUUUUCUGUUAUGUGUGUUUUACUACAAAAAAAAAAAAAAAAAGAUGUAAGGAUGCAUCCAUUCUCAGGAGCCGACCUUCACUUACAUGCCCUGGUCACAGAUAUGUGCAACCAUCGCCACAGUCAAUUUUAAGAUGUUUUCGUCACCAAAAGAGAAAUCAUCCCUUCCCCCACCGAGCAUCAAGCAACCACUAAUCAACUGUCUAUCUCUCUGGAUUUACCCAUUCUGGAAAUUUCAGAAAAUGGAAUCAGAUAAUAUAUCUUUUGUGACUGGCUUCUUCCACUUAGCGUAAUGUUUUCAAGGUUCAUCUAUUAACGAAAUAAAAAACCUGUCAAACUAUUUCCCAGUAUGGUUGUACAGUUUUGCAUCCCUGACAGCAAUAUAUAUUCUAGCUGCUCUACAUCCUCA